rnacentral:rRNA from 1 species
UAGGGAAUCUUCGGCAAUGGACGAAAGUCUGACCGAGCAACGCCGCGUGAGUGAAGAAGGUUUUCGGAUCGUAAAACUCUGUUGUUAGAGAAGAACAAGGACGUUAGUAACUGAACGUCCCCUGACGGUAUCUAACCAGAAAGCCACGGCUAACUACGUGCCAGCAGCGGCGGUAAUACGUAGGUGGCAAGCGUUGUCCGGAUUUAUUGGGCGUAAAGCGAGCGCAGGCGGUUUCUUAAGUCGGAGGUGAAAGCCCCUGGCUCAACCAGGGAGGGUCAUUGGAAACUGGGAGACUUGAGUGCAGACGAGGAGAGUGGAAUUCCAUGUGUAGCGGUGAAAUGCGUAGAUAUAAGGAGGAACACCAGUGGCGAAGGCGGCUCUCUGGACUGUAACUGACGCUGAGGCACGAAAGCGUGGGGAGCAAACAGG